rnacentral:misc_RNA from 1 species
AUUAACAAUGACUUGAGCAUAGACUUUUCUUUCUUGGCUACUACUACUGUUGAAGCGGACAUUGAGGUGAAAGCUAGUGUACACUGUGUGAUAUUUUCUUCUUUCCUAUUUUUGGUUUUUUAUUUUUUUAGCUUAAAUUUGAUCUUGAACUCUUAGCAGAAGAGAGGAAUACCAUCGUCGUUUGGUUAGGAGCUGGGUGGUUAGGUGGUCGGUCCUCUUGCUUUCAAAGAGCACUUCUUUACAAGUUGUCUUCUGGGUCGGUCUUUUUUUAUUGUUUUU